CCUCUGCUUGGGUGAUGGUUGAUUUGC
rnacentral:sRNA from 1 species